AGUGAGAACUCCCUGGGGGUCAUUAAGGCCUUAGAAGAGCUUCGAAAAGAAGAAACCAGGAUAAAUAAGGAGAGCUAGCCUCUAGGAAAGGCCUUCAGAGGAGGCUUGGGGCAGCCCUGGGCAGCAUGGGAAGUCACAGAGGGUCCCAGAGAGGCAGUCAGAAGGGCCCAAGAGAAACUGGAGCCUGUGACCUGCUUAAAACCUUUUCUAAGGAGGACCUCUAGAAUCCUGGGAGAGCAAUGAUAGGUUGGAAGAUUAACAGAGGCAGGGGUUGAGGCCAUGUUGUUUCUCCCAGGCCUGGAGAACUGACUAAACAGGGAUUUACUGUAGAUCUUCAUUUCCUAAACUUGCCUGCUGAGAACCUUCCCAGUCAACAGCAGGGUGAAAUAUGGCUCCUCUGGCUGCACUGGGUAGGCACAAAGGGGGCCAGGAUUAUGAUGAGGAAGCCCCCUGGGGGAUCUUCUUGUCUCCAGAUCCUGUCUGUGAGUGAGAAUUGGGUCACUCUUCAGAGCAGACCCCUGACUUCUCAUUUCUAGACAGGACUUGUCUGGAGCCAGGCCAGCUUUCAGAACUGCUAACAGCCACAGGGACUAUGGCCCCCUGUGGGCUAACUCAGGCUAAUUCUGGUGAAAGAUAUGAAGUUAUUUUAUAUUUUGUAUUACAUAAAGGAUGCAGAGCCUCCAGUGAGGUGACAGGAUCAGAAAUGGUGCUAUGGUUAAUUUAACCCACAUAAAUAAAUACAAAUAACUGAAUGUAAGAAUGGUAUCUCACUUAUGUGAAAACUGACAACAGGAAGUGCUUGUCUCUGAACCUGAGGUUAGCUAACCAACACACCACUGUGGAUGCCUGACUUUGUCAUAAACAAGAAACCAUGAAAGUUGAGGUCACUGUUUCCAGCCUAUGUGUUUUCCACAGUAACAGGCAGCCUCCUGCCCUUAGGUCUCUGCUCAUAAGAAAUGAAAAGUUUAGGGAUGGGGUUGUGGCUCAGUGGUAGAGCACUUGCCUAGCAUGUGUGAGGCACUGGGUUCGAUCCU
rnacentral:lncRNA from 1 species